GAUGAACGCUGGCGGCGUGCCUAAUACAUGCAAGUCGAGCGAACAGACGAGGAGCUUGCUCCUCUGACGUUAGCGGCGGACGGGUGAGUAACACGUGGAUAACCUACCUAUAAGACUGGGAUAACUUCGGGAAACCGGAGCUAAUACCGGAUAACAUGUUGAACCGCAUGGUUCAACAGUGAAAGACGGUCUUGCUGUCACUUAUAGAUGGAUCCGCGCCGCAUUAGCUAGUUGGUAAGGUAACGGCUUACCAAGGCAACGAUGCGUAGCCGACCUGAGAGGCGGAUCGGCCACACUGGAACUGAGACACGGUCCAGACUCCUACGGGAGGCAGCAGUAGGGAAUCGUCCGCAAUGGGCGGAAGCCUGACGGAGCAACGCCGCGUGAGUGAAGAAGGUCUUCGGAUCGUAAAACUCUGUUAUUAGGGAAGAACAAAUGUGUAAGUAACUGUGCACGUCUUGACGGUACCUAAUCAGAAAGCCACGGCUAACUACGUG
rnacentral:rRNA from 1 species